AGAGUUUGAUCCUGGCUCAGGACGAACGCUGGCGGCGCGCCUAACACAUGCAAGUCGAACGAGCGAGAGAGAGCUUGCUUUCUCAAGCGAGUGGCGAACGGGUGAGUAACGCGUGAGGAACCUGCCUCAAAGAGGGGGACAACAGUUGGAAACGACUGCUAAUACCGCAUAAGCCCACGGCUCGGCAUCGAGCAGAGGGAAAAGGAGCAAUCCGCUUUGAGAUGGCCUCGCGUCCGAUUAGCUAGUUGGUGAGGUAACGGCCCACCAAGGCGACGAUCGGUAGCCGGACUGAGAGGUUGAACGGCCACAUUGGGACUGAGACACGGCCCAGACUCCUACGGGAGGCAGCAGUGGGGAAUAUUGCACAAUGGGGGAAACCCUGAUGCAGCGACGCCGCGUGGAGGAAGAAGGUCUUCGGAUUGUAAACUCCUGUUGUUGAGGAAGAUAAUGACGGUACUCAACAAGGAAGUGACGGCUAACUACGUGCCAGCAGCCGCGGUAAAACGUAGGUCACAAGCGUUGUCCGGAAUUACUGGGUGUAAAGGGAGCGCAGGCGGGAAGACAAGUUGGAAGUGAAAUCCAUGGGCUCAACCCAUGAACUGCUUUCAAAACUGUUUUUCUUGAGUAGUGCAGAGGUAGGCGGAAUUCCCGGUGUAGCGGUGGAAUGCGUAGAUAUCGGGAGGAACACCAGUGGCGAAGGCGGCCUACUGGGCACCAACUGACGCUGAGGCUCGAAAGUGUGGGUAGCAAACAGGAUUAGAUACCCUGGUAGUCCACACUGUAAACGAUGAUUACUAGGUGUUGGAGGAUUGACCCCUUCAGUGCCGCAGUUAACACAAUAAGUAAUCCACCUGGGGAGUACGACCGCAAGGUUGAAACUCAAAGGAAUUGACGGGGGCCCGCAC
rnacentral:rRNA from 1 species